CUUCCUACCCCCUAUACCCAGUGGUAUGCCAGAUGUUGGAGACACAGGAUCGUACAGGAUAUGCAUGUUUCCUGCCCUCGUGAGAGAAGACAGACAUCAUAGCAACAGUACAAGAUUCUGUCCUCUCUCACAGAGUAGUCUGAACAGUAGUUUGGAGCUGGCAUGGCAGUUCAGUGGUGUCUCAAACAUCUCUCUUGCUGCUUAGCCAUCUAUACGGUGUGAUCAUCUUGACUGCCUCGGAAAGGAGACCUGAGGAUUGAAUGAGAGCACGCAUAAAACAACGACAAAAACGUAGAUCAUGCCAAGCGAGGGCCGUAUCAGCAUCUCCCAACAGCGGUUAUCUCCGGCUUGUAAACUGUAGGGCUUAUCACAUAAUAUCAUUCAAUAAACAGAAGCUGCUGUGAUUCA
rnacentral:lncRNA from 1 species